CCUACGGGAGGCAGCAGUGGGGAAUAUUGCGCAAUGGGCGAAAGCCUGAAGCAGCGAAGCCGCGUGAGGGAUGAAGGUCUUCGGAUCGGAAAACUCUGUUAGCAGGGAAGAACGGUCACUGUGCUAAUCAGCAGUGAAUUGACGGUACCUGCAAAGGAAGCACCGGCUAACUCCGUGCCAGCAGCCGCGGUAAUACGGAGGGUGCGAGCGUUAAUCGGAAUUACUGGGCGUAAAGCGCGCGUAGGCGGUAUGUCAAGUCAAUGGUGAAAUCCCCGCGCUCAACGUGGGAACUGCCUUUGAAACUGGCAAACUGGAGUGUGUGAGAGGAUAGUGGAAUUCCAGGUGUAGGGGUGAAAUCCGUAGAUAUCUGGAGGAACAUCAGUGGCGAAGGCGACUAUCUGGCACAUAACUGACGCUGAGGAGCGAAAGCGUGGGUAGCAAACAGGAUUAGAUACCCGGGUAGUC
rnacentral:rRNA from 1 species